rnacentral:lncRNA from 1 species
CUCUCUCUACGUUCUCCAGUAGUCUUGAUCCUCUCUCUACAUCUCCAGUAUAUGAUCCUCCUUCUUUACCCUCUCCAGUAGUCUGUGAUCCUCCUCUCUACCAUUCUCCAGUAGUCUAUGAUCCUCCUCUCUACCAUUCUCCAGUAGUCUAUGAUCCUCCUCUACCCUUAUCUCCAGUAGUCUGAUGUCCUCCUCUCUACCAUUCUCCAGUAGUCUAUGCUCU